rnacentral:rRNA from 1 species
UGGGGAAUAUUGCACAAUGGGCGAAAGCCUGAUGCAGCAACGCCGCGUGCGGGAUGACGGCCUUCGGGUUGUAAACCGCUUUCAGCAGGGACGAAGGUUUUCUGACGGUACCUGCAGAAGAAGCACCGGCUAACUACGUGCCAGCAGCCGCGGUGAUACGUAGGGUGCGAGCGUUGUCCGGAAUUAUUGGGCGUAAAGAGCUUGUAGGCGGUCCGUUGCGUCGGAAGUGAAAACUCAGGGCUUAACCCUGAGCCUGCUUUCGAUACGGGCGGACUUGAGGGAUGUAGGGGAGAACGGAAUUCCUGGUGGAGCGGUGAAUGCGCAGAUAUCAGGAGGAACACCAGUGGCGAAGGCGGUUCUCUGGACAUUUCCUGACGCUGAGAAGCGAAAGUGUGGGGAGCAAACAGGCUUAGAUACCCUGGUAGUCCACGCCGUAAACGGUGGGCACUAGGUGUGGGACCCAUUCCCACGGGUUCCGUGCCGUAGCUAACGCAUUAAGUGGCCCCCGCCUGGGGAGUACCGGCCGCAAGGCUAAAAACUC